GACGUUGACUAUAUUGAACCAACGUUACUCGACUUUCACAAGAGUGUCGAAGCGUUGCAAGUUUCUUGUGGAUUUAAUCAUACAGCUGCUAUAUUCCAAUGUACAUGAAAAAAAUAUGCAAAUAAAAGUUACUUGUAUCCCUACUAAAGAAAACUCCGGGAUGGAUCGGAGCAGAAUACAGAGGUUAGUAACAGUAGCGAAAAAUAUUAAUCUAUCGAAAUAUUUUUGAACUCGGGACCGCGAAAAUGUAUAAUUUUAAUGAGGUUAUUAAUUUAUCGAGAUUCUACUGUAAUGUUAUCUGUAAA